rnacentral:rRNA from 1 species
CCUACGGGAGGCAGCAGUGGGGAAUAUUGCGCAAUGGGGGGAACCCUGAUGCAGCGACGCCGCGUGAGUGAAGAAGUAUUUCGGUAUGUAAAGCUCUAUCAGCAGGGAAGAAAAUGACGGUACCUGAUUAAGAAGCCCCGGCUAACUACGUACCAGCAGCCGCCGUACUACGUAGGGGGCAAGCGUUAUCCGGAUUUACUGGGGUCAAAGGGAGCGGCGACGGUAGAGCAAGUCUGAAGUGAAAUGACCGGGCUUAAACAUGGAACUGCUUUGGAAACUGUGCAGCUAGAGUGCAGGAGAGGUAAGUGGAAUUCCUAGUGUAGCGGUGAAAUGCGUAGAUAUUAGGAGGAACACCAGUGGCGAAGGCGGCUUACUGGACUGUAACUAACGUUGAGGCCCGAAAGCGUGGGGAGCAAACAGGAUUAGAUACCCCAGUAGUC